rnacentral:misc_RNA from 1 species
CACGCAGUCGCAGUCGGAUCCCCAAUAAUGAUGACAGUGACGAUGAUGACCGCGAUCAAUCCGAUGACAGACUUUCUUUUCAUCCUGGGGUAACAUUAUCAGGCUUAUUGAAUUUCAUUGAUGGGCUAUGGUCAAGCUGUGGAGAUGAGAGAGUAAUCAUAUUUACCACAAAUUACAAAGACAAAUUGGACCCAGCAUUGCUACGCCCAGGACGCAUGGAUGUUCACAUCUACAUGGGCCAUUGCACUCCAGCAGGCUUCAAGAAACUUGUUAACACUUACCUUGGGAUUAAAGACCAUCUUCU